rnacentral:rRNA from 1 species
AGGACGAACGCUGGCGGCGUGCUUAACACAUGCAAGUCGAGCGGAAAGGCCCUUCGGGGUACUCGAGCGGCGAACGGGUGAGUAACACGUGAGCAACCUGCCCCUGGCUCUGGGAUAGCCUCCGGAAACGGGGAUUAAUACCGGACAUUCACUUCCUUCCGCAUGGUUGGUGGUGGAAAGUUUUUUCGGCCGGGGAGGGGCUCGCGGCCUAUCAGCUUGUUGGCGGGGUAACGGCCCACCGAAGGCGACGACGGGUAGCC